rnacentral:rRNA from 1 species
CAGCACCCCGAGUGGUCGGGACGAUUAUUGGGCCUAAAGCAUCCGUAGCCGGUUCUGCAAGUCUUCCGUUAAAUCCACCUGCUCAACAGUUGGGCUGCGGAGGAUACUAUAGAGCUAGGAGGCGGGAGAGGCAAGCGGUACUUAGUGGGUAGGGGUAAAAUCCGUUGAUCCACUGAAGACCACCAGUGGCGAAGGCGGCUUGCCAGAACGCGCUCGACGGUGAGGGAUGAAAGCUGGGGGAGCAAACCGGAUUAGAUACCCGGGUAGUCCCAGCUGUAAACGAUGCAGACUCGGUGAUGAAUAAGCUUCGUGCUUAUUCAGUGCCGCAGGGAAGCCGUUAAGUCUGCCGCCUGGGGAGUACGGUCGCAAGACUGAA